GCUACCACCACCACCAGCCCCGCCGCUUCCUAGCAAGCUCACUGCUGCCCAAAAGCUCCCAGCCAGGGAACUCCACCAGCCUAUUUAUCUGAGCCCCGGGAAAGCUCCGUGACGUAGCUGCCCAUAUAUGGACAGACAAAGCCCAGCCGAAGGGGCGCGACGUCACAAUGGAAGCUCCUCACAAUGGAACAUUAGAAAGCAGGAAGCGGGCGGCCGCCAGCGUGCGGCGUCCGCACCGCUCGCGGAUCUUGAAAAAAGAGAAAUAGAAGAGAAGAAAGGACAAUUCGAGAGGAGAGAGGACAGAGGGAUGCAACUGAACGCAAAGCGUAAAGCACGUAGCGCGCAUUUGAAAAAGCCAUAACUGCCUCCUGGGAACUUGUGGGGAACCCGGAAGGCGUGCACUCCGACACUGCUCCAACCGACUCUCCUCCGCUGCUCUUCUCGGGCCCAGGACCUUGCCUGAGACCGGGAGAAAGGAAGCACGUCCCUCCGCGGAGAAGGAUUCCAGAGUCAGAGACACCUGGUCCCAAAUGCCGAGAACUUUUGUACCUCCAUCUCUCUGAUUCACCGCCCACACUCCUGCCGCUCCCUGUGCCCCCUGCGCCGACUCCUGGUUGAGUGCCCUGGCGGGGAGAGUCGUAGCUGCAAAGAGGCUGCGCGGGAGGCGAGAACCCCACACAUUUGGGGUCGAGGAUGUGUGGUUUUGUUGUUGAAGAAGAAAAAAUGAAGUUGAGCGGAUAGGAAACACGUGCACCAAAUCCUCGACUAAUUCGCUAACGGUUCCCAAGCAUCCCUUUGGCCAGGGAAUGGCAGGAGGGCCUAGCAGGCUUGGGCGCAGCCGCUGUCUAUUGCUGCCUGGGAAGGGCCCGCCACGGAGUCGCUGCAGGACCUUGCCGAGCUCACAGUCUGACACUCGGCUGGCCUCCCGGCGGCCUCCCCUCGUCUCUACCCUAACCAUCGCCCUCUACAGGGCUGUCCCUGACGCCCUGCAGUCAAAGGCCGCCUGUUUGCCAACCCGAGAGCUGUCACCUCCCGUAGCAGCAGAUCCCGGGGGCGGCUGAUAUGUUCCCCGAGGCCUGCUCCUGGAGCGCGCGCGGCCAGGCCCGGGGAAAGGGGAGGAGAGGAAGGGAGCGUGGGGGAGCGACCCCGAAUCACACUGGCUUGGCGUGGGAGGAUUCCCUCCUCAGUGGCCGCGUGGGUGCGGUGAAUCCCGUGUCCCCCGCUGGGGAGUCGGGUUGGGGGAGACGUGCAUUUCUCAGGGGGAGUAGGAGUGUUGACAAGGAGGCAGAGAGGAUCCCCGAGCCUCACGCCGUGGGAGGGCCACGCGGGCCGGGGAACGCGUGGGAGGAACUCCCGAGCUGCACAUAGCGGUGGGGGUGGAUGACAACCUCGCUUUCCUCCCCUCCAUUUCACUCCGCGGAGAACUGGGAGUGGGAGGGGCCAGUCUCCCCCGGAUCUUCUCGAGUUCUUAGGAAAGGAGGGAUUCCCGCUGCCCGUGAACCCCUUCUCCCCCGCCCCUGCCGCCACGCUCGCCAGGCUCCCCAACCUAAACCCGGGAAGCACUGUGCCCCCGGGCUCUCCUCCGCCCGCGCGGCGCGGGGAGCGACAGCUCUGCAGCGGUCCGGGCUCCGGCCGGAAUCAGGGCGUGCAGCGCCUGCCGCCCCCGGCUCCCUCCCUGGGGGGCGGGCGGCGGGCCCGGGGACGUGGGCGGCAGUGAGAGCUGGGCUGGGCGCAGGAGGGGCUCUGGCGGCUGCAGGGAGGGUCGCGGGGCGGCGGGCCAAGCCGGGAAGAGCCAUACAAGGAGCGGAUCCGGUGACGCGUCGGCCGCGCCCCUUCUCCUUGAUUUGGCUGCUGAUUCCGGUCCCCGGAUUUGCAUAUUUUGGCAUCCAGUGGAAAAGGAAAGAUGAGCGGAACCCGCAGCCUUUAAAGGAACCACACAGGCUGUAGCGUCACCUAGGGAGGCAGUCUGGGGGCAUGAAAUAUUAGCCAGCGGCUCCGGCCAGUGGGCCACGGACCUGGCAGAAGGGGCGAAGCGGGGAGCGGCGUUGAGCAGAGAGCUUCGGCCGCUCCAGCCCCAGACCUGGUCCCUCUGCGGCGCCUCCUGCUGGGCGUGACCCAGGGGUGGCGGGGGUUCUCCGCGGGUUCCUGCGGGCCAGGCCCGGAGGCUCCAAGAGGUCCGCGGCCUUGGGCGAACUGCAGGCUCCCAUAUUGACUGCAGUGCCCCAGUUUCCCCGCGAGAGGCACAGCUCAGCCUGCGGGGGUGGCGGGAGGGAAUUAAGAGACCUCCAGGCUUCUCAGCUCAACUCCGGAGGACUCUACAGUGAUGCACCUGCUCCCCACCUGUUGAAACCUCUCCUCAGGGGAGGAGAGUGAGAAACUAGAACCCCCAGUUUUGUUCAAUUGAGACCCGCAUUAGGAAAGGCAAUGGGAACGUUUGAGAUCCUUGAGAGUUUCCAGGAACCCCCCAAGGGCCAAACGGUGGAGGAGUGUAACCUCUCCAGAGGCGGCCCAGAGACUUUUAGGCUAGCUGGACUUGUCACGCGCAAGGUGAAGAGCGAGUAGGACUUGCCGGGUUCCCCGGGGCCUGUUUACAUGUUGGUGAGAUUGGAUAGUUUUUUUUUGGGGGGGAUACAAAUGUCUUCUCCCUCCUUCCUACUAGUUCUUGACAUGAAAUGGGAGUCUUCAAUUAAAUUAAAUAAGUAUUCAUUAAAACUUCAGUGUGAUCUUGGACAAAUUUCUUUCUUAGCCUCAGUUUCCUUGUCUGUAAAUUGGGAUAAUAAUAGUAUUUUAGAAAAAAUUAACUUAAUCCUCAGAGUACUUAGGCUAGC